AGCAGCGUUCGGCGCGUUUAAUAUCUAAAUUAGCUAAUUUGUUAAUUUUAGGAGAAAUUGACACCUGAAUCCAAAAGUUUAGACCAAACAUGUCCCGUUUGUUUCUUUUUUGUCAUCGUGUCAAAACAUACCGAGGGUUGAGCUGAGGAAGGAGCAAUUAUUUGGAUGCCAGCUACGGGUGAAUUGUCGGCUCAUGUCCCGUCGGUUUGUUGCCUUGGUGACUGGUGCGGAGAUAAUAGACGUUAAUGAGAUAUUAACCCCGGAUAAGGAAGACGAUGGGAAGUGAUGAGCGCUCGCAGGAAACCGCUGAAGACAGGAUUCGUCAAUGGACGACCUCGGACUGAUCAAUAUUGUUUUGUUAUUCGGCGACGGUAACAAGCAGCCGUGACCCCGGCCCCUGUGAAGCACGGGAGAACUCCCGUCCACAUCCCCUGCCACAACACGACUCUACGCCCGCAUGUGUCGGCCGAACCUUCAAUAGCGAUGGACACAACUGCACAG